CCUACGGGAGACUGCAGUGAGGAAUAUUGGUCAAUGGACGAGAGUCUGAACCAGCCAAGUAGCGUGAAGGAUGACUGCCCUACGGGUUGUAAACUUCUUUUAUAAAGGAAUAAAGUGUUGCACGUGUGCCUUGUUGUAUGUACUUUAUGAAUAAGGAUCGGCUAACUCCGUGCCAGCAGCCGCGGUAAUACGGAGGAUCCGAGCGUUAUCCGGAUUUCUUGGGUUUAAAGGGAGCGUAGGUGGGUUGUUAAGUCAGUUGUGAAAGUUUGCGGCUCAACCGUAAAAUUGCAGUUGAUACUGGCAGUCUUGAGUACAGUAGAGGUAGGCGGAAUGCGUGGUGUAGCGGUGAAAUGCUUAGAUAUCACGAAGAACUCCGAUUGCGAAGGCAGCUUACUAAACUGCAACUGACAUUGAGGCUCGAAAGUGUGGGUAUCAAACAGGAUUAGAUACCCUAGUAGUC
rnacentral:rRNA from 1 species